rnacentral:rRNA from 1 species
GACGAACGCUGGCGGCGUGCUUAACACAUGCAAGUCGAACGGAAAGGCCCUGCUUUUGUGGGGUGCUCGAGUGGCGAACGGGUGAGUAACACGUGAGUAACCUGCCCUUGACUUUGGGAUAACUUCAGGAAACUGGGGCUAAUACCGGAUAGGAGCUCCUGCUGCAUGGUGUGGGUUGGAAAGUUUCGGCGGUUGGGGAUGGACUCGCGGCUUAUCAGCUUGUUGGUGGGGUAGUGGCUUACCAAGGCUUUGACGGGUAGCCGGCCUGAGAGGGUGACCGGCCACAUUGGGACUGAGAUACGGCCCAGACUCCUACGGGAGGCAGCAGUGGGGAAUAUUGCACAAUGGGCGGAAGCCUGAUGCAGCAACGCAGCGUGCGGGAUGACGGCCUUCGGGUUGUAAACCGCUUUCGCCUGUGACGAAGCGUGAGUGACGGUAAUGGGUAAAGAAGCACCGGCUAACUACGUG